GCAAAUAUUUUUAUCUGCCGAUCUAUUCAAUGCUGUAAUCAGACCAGCUAUUAAUGUGGGUAUUUCCGUUUCCAGAGUUGGAUCGGCGGCUCAAAUUAAAGCCAUGAAACAGGUAGCUGGUAAAUUAAAAUUGGAAUUGGCACAAUUCGCAGAAUUAGAAGCUUUUGCACAAUUUGCUUCUGAUCUCGAUAAAGCUACGCAAAAUCAAUUGGCAAGAGCCGCUGUUCCCAUUUUCUCGCUGACCCAUCAUGCAAAAGGUGAAUUGAUAACUUAAUGCUGGUUUUUUCAUGCCAUUCAAUCUGCAAGACUGUCCGCAUAGCAUAUGUAUUUGCCAUCUGUUUCAUGUUUUUGACAUCAAGAUGUGGUCGGUUGUCGCGUGUUCAAGACUGUCCAGGCUUUCAUGUCUGUUGGAUCGCCUUAAGUUGUUUUAAUAUAUACAUAUGAACUUAUUUGAUGUUUUGAAAUUUUAUUUUGAUGGAACUAUAGCUGCAAUAUUAUAUGCUUCAGUCUUGGUAAAUUCAUUGGAAAACUGUUAUUGAGUUAACUGAUGAGAAUAUUCUUGACCGCUAAUUCUCCUUGCUUUGAUAUCAAUGCAAUUUUUUGCCUAAUUCAAGUGUUAAAUUUUUAAUCCAAGUUGUUAUGCUAUAUUGUCGUAGCCACAUUUACAGGAUUAUUAACUGUCGUUUUAAGUUAUUAUAUUCCGUUACUGUUCUAUAACAAAGAGUUGUGUUAUCAAUUCCGUGGCGAAGUAAACCAGAUAUUACCAAACUUAUAUUACAUGUAUUCACCAAAUUUACCAUAUUACAUAAAUUAUAUUUUAGCAAAAACAAACAAUUACCACAUUUACCAUUUUUGACUGAUUCAACUUACGUUUUUUACCGCACGGGUAGACGUACUAGUAUGAAUAACAUUGCUAACAAUUUGUGUCAACCCUAAUUCUAAUGGUUUUGGCUCCAAAUUGUUCUGACCGUUAGAUGCAUCUGUGUUGAUCACCACACAAUCCAUCUGUUUCCAAUGAACAUAGUCUUUCAAUUUCAACACACAACUACAUUGGUAACAUACACACCUUUCCUAAUCCAAUAAACUCUCACUCCACUUUCCAAUAUUCUCCCACCACUACCGUCUCUGAAACUCCCUUUCCAUUGCCUUCCUCCGUCGUCUCACCUUCCACGCCGUCAGCUGCGACUUUUCCGUUACAAUCACCGUCGCUGUAGCACCUUCAACGAUAAUGGCAACCGAAUCAAACCUCAAAAUUGAAUGUGACAUUGGAGAAGCUUUCCGAUCUUCUGAACAUGGCGGAGGUGGAGACAGAAGCUGAGGCGGAGAAGAAGGAAGAAGCCUUGGAGGGACUGAAGCGGCAUGUGAAGUUCUCAGUUUCACUUUCAUCCCCUAGAACCUUUAUGGAGUCAAUCAUUCUUUACUAAAAAUUGGAGGUGUUGAAUGUUCAGGCAUUCCCAAAAUUGUUCAUCUUUUCACUUUCACCUUCUUCUCCAUUUCGAUGACGAUUCAAUUUCGUCGAUUGAGCUCGGAAAUGAUGAAGAGGAAGCCGACUAUGUGGGGGAUGUUUCUAAGUUGGCUGAUAACAAUCCAUUGAUGCUGCAAAUAUGAUAUGCAUUUCCCUGAAGCACAUUUUUGGGAAGAUCUGGAAUCGAAGAUAAUGGAAUGCAUCAGAAAUACAGUGGAUAGGCGUGUACAAUUUUAUGAAGAUGAGAUACGGAAGCUCAGUGAACAGCGCCUCAUGCCAGUCUGGAACUUCUGUAAUUUUUUCAUUCUGAAGGUUCAUCCUUUUCUUAUGAAUUGUGGGCCUAAGAGUACGAUAAAUUGUUCUGAAAGUCCAACCUUUAUUAAUUUUCCAUUGCAGCUCAUUCUAGGAGAUUGUGGCUUUUUGUAACAACUUAGUAUUAUGUACUCAGGAAACUCUUAUUACUUAGCUUCAUUUUAUAUUGAACUCUAAUGAUCAUUGUUUAUGACAGAGUCUUAGUUUCCAAUUAAUUUUGUAUCAAUGGAGAAUUUCCAUAAAG